CACGUAGGGCGCAAGCGUUGUCCGGAAUUAUUGGGCGUAAAGAGCGUGUAGGCGGCCAGGUAGGUCUGCUGUGAAAACUCGAGGCUUAACCUCGAGAUGUCGGCGGAAACCAUCUGGCUAGAGUCCGGAAGAGGAGAGCGGAAUUCCUGGUGUAGCGGUGAAAUGCGCAGAUAUACAGGAGGAACACCCGUGGCAAAGGCGGCUCUCUGGGACGGUACUGACGCUGAGACGCGAAAGCGUGGGGAGCGAACAGG
rnacentral:rRNA from 1 species